rnacentral:rRNA from 1 species
UGUAAGCGUAUACCAAAGUUGUUGCAGUUAAAACGCUCGUAGUCGGAAUUUGGCAGUUCCGGAAGUGUGCACGUCGUGUGCGCACUUUACGGGGACUGCUUUUGUGGUCUUGCGUAGGAUGAGGCACUUUCAUUAGUGAACGUCCUCACGCAACCACUCUUUACUGUGAGAAAAUCAGAGUGCUCAAAGCAGGCAUUUGCCGUGAAUGUAUUAGCAUGGAAUAAUAGAAUAGGACUCGGUUCUAUUUUGUUGGUUUGUUGGGACUGAGUAAUGAUUAAGAGGGACAGUUGGGGGCAUUUGUAUUCCGGCGCUAGAGGUGAAAUUCUUAGAUUGCCGGAAGACAAACUGCUGCGAAAGCGUCUGCCAAGGAUGUUUUCAUUGA